AUAGUUUGAUUUAUCGGAGAUCUCCGCUCAGCACUCAGAUGUGAUUACAGCCUCGCUGCCCUGCUCUGGAUCACAGCUGGGAGAAGCUCAGGUUUAUCUUACCUCAGCCUGACAUCUCAUGCAGAUAUUUCACUAUAUUAUGUCUGCACAGUCCUCCCUGUCUCUAUGGUUGCUCUACGAGUCCGUCAGUUUCAGUAGAAACAGCUACACUGCUGCCGCUAUAGGAAAUCUGUGCCAGACAGGGAAAUGUGGGCAGUCGUUAGCUAGAAAAUCGAUAUAGCUGGACAGGAAAAUUGACUGAGCUGUAGCUACUGUAUAUAACUGGGAAUGGUACAGUUUAUAGCCUGCACCUGGGCGAAGACUGUGCCAGUGAUGUGCAGAGAGUAGCCUAAAUCUUCGUUGGUUUGCCAAGGAGGGGAGCAAUCACCGGUACGCCCAGUUGGUCUCAUUCCUCACGCGGUCGCUCUCGCGGGCGAUGUCCGAGGCGUUCUGGAUGACCAGACCGUCAUAGGCUCUCAGCCCACUGUCCUCCACGUACUGGAAAAACCUGCUGAAGGCGUCCUCCUCAGAGCUCAUUGUUCUCCAGUCACAAACACUGAACGGGAGGAAACACACGCGUCAGUGAUGGAGACCCUGCUCUCACAUGAUGAAGACACUGCUGUAAAUUACACUCAGGUGUUUACAACAUAUACGCACAUGUAUGUGCACUUUGUAUGUGUGUAUAUAUUUGUAUGUAUAUUUACUUGGACUCGGAUUUCACCUGCUGAAAUCUAUUUUGUUCACACAUACCAUUUUGUAUGCUGUGAAUGCACAUGAUGUGAAUGUCACAUGACUUCCACACGUAAAUGUGAAUGUGAGACAUUGUGA